AUUGAACGCUGGCGGAAUGCUUUACACAUGCAAGUCGAACGGUAGCACAGAGAGCUUGCUCUUGGGUGACGAGUGGCGGACGGGUGAGUAAUGUCUGGGAAACUGCCUGAUGGAGGGGGAUAACUACUGGAAACGGUAGCUAAUACCGCAUAACGUCGCAAGACCAAAGAGGGGGACCUUCGGGCCUCUUGCCAUCAGAUGUGCCCAGAUGGGAUUAGCUAGUAGGUGGGGUAAUGGCUCACCUAGGCGACGAUCCCUAGCUGGUCUGAGAGGAUGACCAGCCACACUGGAACUGAGACACGGUCCAGAAUCCUACGGGAGGCAGCAGUGGGGAAUAUUGCACAAUGGGCGCAAGCCUGAUGCAGCCAUGCCGCGUGUAUGAAGAAGGCCUUCGGGUUGUAAAGUACUUUCAGCGAGGAGGAAGGCAAUACGGUCAAUAACCGUGUUGAUUGACGUUACUCGCAGAAGAAGCACCGGCUAACUCCGUGCCAGCAGCCGCCGUAAUAC
rnacentral:rRNA from 1 species